ACACAUGCAAGUCGAGCGGAUGACGGGAGCUUGCUCCUUGAUUCAGCGGCGGACGGGUGAGUAAUGCCUAGGAAUCUGCCUGGUAGUGGGGGACAACGUUUCGAAAGGAACGCUAAUACCGCAUACGUCCUACGGGAGAAAGCAGGGGACCUUCGGGCCUUGCGCUAUCAGAUGAGCCUAGGUCGGAUUAGCUAGUUGGUGGGGUAAUGGCUCACCAAGGCGACGAUCCGUAACUGGUCUGAGAGGAUGAUCAGUCACACUGGAACUGAGACACGGUCCAGACUCCUACGGGAGGCAGCAGUGGGGAAUAUUGGACAAUGGGCGAAAGCCUGAUCCAGCCAUGCCGCGUGUGUGAAGAAGGUCUUCGGAUUGUAAAGCACUUUAAGUUGGGAGGAAGGGCAGUAAGCUAAUACCUUGCUGUUUUGACGUUACCGACAGAAUAAGCACCGGCUAACUCUGUGCCAGCAGCCGCGGUAAUACAGAGGGUGCAAGCGUUAAUCGGAAUUACUGGGCGUAAAGCGCGCGUAGGUGGUUUGUUAAGUUGGAUGUGAAAGCCCCGGGCUCAACCUGGGAACUGCAUCCAAAACUGGCAAGCUAGAGUACGGUAGAGGGUGGUGGAAUUUCCUGUGUAGCGGUGAAAUGCGUAGAUAUAGGAAGGAACACCAGUGGCGAAGGCGACCACCUGGACUGAUACUGACACUGAGG
rnacentral:rRNA from 1 species